GAACACCUUAAACUUCCUCUUCAUUGUCACUAGAUUCACAGCAGCUACUUUGACACAAGUAUCCAUCCUGACAGUUCAUAUAUAGUUAGUCACAUGGAGUGUGAAUCUAAUUCAAAAAAAGGAUGAGUAAGCACGAUAUCUACUACUCUCUCUCUUUGAGUUGAACGUGUAUAAGUCGCUAUGAAAAAAAGGUUUCUUAGGCCCUGUUUGAGAUUGAUUUUUUAGGGCUUAUCUAGCUGCUUUGACACAAGUAUUCAUACUG
rnacentral:lncRNA from 1 species